rnacentral:rRNA from 1 species
UACGUAGGGGGCAAGCGUUGUCCGGAAUCAUUGGGCGUAAAGAGCGUGUAGGCGGCCCGGUAAGUCCGCUGUGAAAGUCCAGGGCUCAACCCUGGAAAGCCGGUGGAUACUGCCGGGCUAGAGUCCGGAAGAGGCGAGUGGAAUUCCUGGUGUAGCGGUGGAAUGCGCAGAUAUCAGGAGGAACACCAAAGGCGAAGGCAGCUCGCUGGGACGGUACUGACGCUGAGACGCGAAAGCGUGGGGAGCAAACAGG